rnacentral:rRNA from 1 species
UUGUGCUGAGAACAAAGGUAUUACCCAUGAUGCAGUAAGAUCAUACUUUCGCCACACACUUGAUUUGACAUCCUUAAAGAAUGGUCGGAAGGUCUUUCUUUGGACCGUAUGUAAGCUUUUGGAUAGGGUUAGAAAGAAAGGGUGGCAUGAAAGCUAAAAAUAAUAUAAGAUGAAAGGGUUCAAAAUACAACUUUUGGAAUCACAUCUUUUGGCCAAAUUAAAAAUUUUGCCCCAGUUUCUUGGAGUCUGGGAAUUUUCUUUAAUUUUUGCUUUAAUGAGAUUUCUAGGAAAAAUUGCCUCUCUCUUGACUUCGGGGAUUAUAAAAUAUUUUAUUUGGUGUGACCGUCUUGAAACACGGACCAAGGAGUCUGACAUGUGUGUGAGUCAACGGGCGAGUAAACUCGUAAGGCGUAAGGAAGCUGAUUGGUAGGAUCCCCCUGAGGGGUGCACCCCCGACCGACUUUGAUCUUCUGUGAAGGGUUAGAGUUUGAGCAUACCUAUCGGGACCCGAAAGAUGGUGAACUAUGCCUGAGCGGGGCAAAGCCAGAGGAAACUCUGGUGUAGGCUCAUAGUGAUACUAACGUGCAAAUCGUUCGUCUGACUUGGGUAUAGGGGCGAAAGACUAAUCGAACCGUCUAGUAGUUGGUUCCCUCCGAAAAUUCCCUCAGGAUAGCUGGAGUACGCAUGCGUUCUAUUAGGUAAAGCAAAUGAUUAGAGUCUUCGGGGGCGCAACGCCCUCGACCUAUUCUCAAACUUUAAACAGGUAGGACGGCGAGACUGCUUUGUUGAGCCGCGCCACGGAAUCAAGAGCUCCUAGUGGGCCAUUUUUGGUAAGCAGAACUGGCGAUGUAGGAUGAACCGGAAGCCGAGUUACGGUGCCAAACUAUGCGCUAACCUAGAUCCCACAAAGGGUGUUGGUCAAUUAAGACAGCAAAACGGUAGACAUGGAAGUCGAAAUCCCCUAAGGAGUGUGUAACAACUCACCUGCCGAAUCAACUAUCCCCAAAAAUGGAUGGCGCUUAAGCGCGUGACCUACACUCUGUCGUCGGGGCAAGUGCCGGCCCCGAUGAGUAGGAGGGCGCAGCGGUCGCUGCAAAACCUUGGGUGUGAGCCUAGGUGGAGUGGUCGUCGGUGCAGAUCUUGGUGGUAGUAACAAAUAUUCAAAUGCGAAUUUUGAAGGCAGAAGAGGGGAAAAGUUCCAUGUGAACGACACUUGCACAUGGGUUAGUCGAUCCUAAGGGUCGGGGGAACCAUGAUAGAUAGUGCAUUUCACGCGUACUCCGAAAGGGAAUCGGGUUAAAAUUCCUGAACGGGACGUGGCAAUUGACGACAGCGUUAGGAAGUCCGGAGACGUCAGUGGGGGCCUCGGGAAGCGUUGUCUUUUUUGUUUAACAUCCUGCCCACCUUGGAAACGACUUAGGAGGUAGGCUCCAGCGGCUGGAAGAGCACCGUACGUCGCGUGGUGUCCGGUGCGCUCCCGGCGGCCCUUGAAAAUCUAGAGGACCGAAUGUCGUCCAUGCUCGGUCAUACUCAUAACUGCAUCAGGUCUCUAAGGUGAACAGUAUCUGGUUGAUGGAACAAUGUAGGCAAGGGAAGUCGGCAAAACGGAUCCAUAACUUCGGGAAAAAGGAUUGGCUCUAAGGGCUAGGUACGGGGGUCCCAGUCCCGAACCCAUCGACUGUCAGUGGACUGCUCGAGCUGCUCCUGCAGCAAUAGCAGGUCACCGUGUGCCGUCUGAGGGAUAGACUGGGAACUAUUCCUUGGGGGGCUAUCCCCGGGCAUCGAACAACCAACUCAGAACUGGUACGGACAAGAAGAAUUUGACUGUUUAAUUAAAACAAAGCAUUGCGAUGGUCCCUACAGAUGUUUACGCAAUGUGAUUUCUGCUUAGUGCUCUGAAUGUCAAAGUGAAGAAAUUCAACCAAGUACGGGUAAACGGUGGGAGUAACUAUGACUCUCUUAAGGUAUCCAAAUGCCUCGUCAUCUAACUAGUGACGCGCAUGAGUGGAUUAAUGAGAUUCCCACAGUCCUAGUCUACUAUAUAGUGAAACCACAGCCAAGGGAAUGGGCUUGGCAGAAUCAGCGGGGAAAGAAGACCCUAUUGAGAUUGACUCUAGUCAAAUUUUGUGAAAUGACUUGAGAGGUGUAAUAUAAGUGGGAGACGAAAGGCGAAAGUAAAAUACCACUACUUUUAAAGUUAUUUUACUUAUUCCGUGAAUCAGAAGCGGGGUACUUCCCCUAUUUUUGGACCCAAGGCUUGCUUGCAGGUCGAUCUAGGUGGAAGACAUUGUUAGGUGGGGAGUUUGGCUAGGGCGGCACAUCUAUUAAAAGAUAACACAUGUGUCCUAAGAUGAACUCAACGAGAACAGAAAUCUCGUGUGGAACAGAAGGGUAAAAGCUCGUUUGAUUCUGAUUUCCAUUACAAAUACAAACCAUAAAAGCGUGGCCUAACGAUCCUUUAGACCUUCGAAAUUCGAAGUUGGAGGCUUCAGAAAAGUUACCACAGGGAUAACUGGCUUGUGGCAGUCAAGCGUUCAUAGUGAUGUAUCUUUUUGAUCCUUCAAUGUCGGCUCUUCCUAUUAGGGCUGGGCA